rnacentral:rRNA from 1 species
AUUGAACGCUGGCGGCAGGCCUAACACAUGCAAGUCGAACGGUAACAGGAAGACGCUUGCUUCUUUGCUGACGAGUGGCGGACGGGUGAGUAAUGUCUGGGCAACUGCCUGAUGGAGGGGGAUAACUACUGGAAACGGUAGCUACUACCGCAUAACGUCGCAAGACCAAUGAGGGGGAUCUUCGGGCCGUUUGCCGUCGGAUGUGCCCAGAUGGGAUUAGCUAGUAGGUGGGGUAACGGCUCACCUAGGCGACGAUCCCUAGCUGGUCUGAGAGGAUGAGCAGCCACACUGGAACUGAGACACGGUCCAGACUCCUACGGGAGGCAGCAGUGGGGAAUAUUGCACAAUGGGCGCAAGCCUGAUGCAGCCAUGCCGCGUGUAUGAAGAAGGCCUUCGGGUUGUAAAAUACUUUCAGCGGGGAGGAAGGGAGUAAAGUUAAUACCUUUGCUCAUUGACGUUACCCGCAGAAGAAGCACCGGCUAACUCCGUG